CUCUGCCGCCGCCGCUGCCAGCCGGUCCUCUUCUCCGCCGCCGCGAGCAUGAGCAGCCGCCCGCAUCCUUUUAUUGUGAUGAACCAUUUCUUUUGCAGGACAAAGAUGUACUUCUAAAAACAUUGGAUGGUGUUCGAAGAUAUUAUGCACACCGCAAAGGCCUUCUGCAACUUGACUUUAUCAAGUAACCCCAAGGAAGUUUUAAAACGGAUUAAAGAGUCAACUAGAUGGUCUGACGAGCUGGAUGAUUAUGAGCUACAACUUGGCUAAAGGGUCAUAUGAAACUUUUAAAGAGAUAUAUGAGUGAAUUGGACACAACUUCCACAAGCAGCAACAUGCCCGAGGCAUAUCAAUGUGCCUAGGUGCCAAUGUGCUGAAGGCCAUGCUCGUAGGUUUUUCUUAACUCCUCAAGAUGUUAGCACUUUCCAAUUCGGUGCAGAAUCAAUGUUGUUUGUUGUUCUAUUUGGUGCAGGAUCAAUGUUGUUUGUUGUUCUGUUCCAUGAUUCCCGCGAUUUUUUUGUUUCAUCAAAGGUGGUGUGGCUAUGAUACUAAGGGAGACUGUGUGGCGGUGUUUCAGGUUCGAGAUCAUUCAGUAGUGCCUCAUCAAGAAAGUGUGCUCUGUUCUUGGCUUUAAGAGAUUAGCUUCAAGAGAGCAAAUGAAUAUGACGAUCACUGAAUGACAGGUCGGUCUUUCUGGAUCGGAAGGAAUUUUUUUUAGCUUGGCCUUUGAGUUUCAUAAAUUCAGAAUAAGUUCCUACACCUGUCGUAACUGGACAAAUCAUGCAUGCACGGCUCAGGAAUGAGGACUCUAAAAUGGAUGGAGGAGGAGCUAUAGUUCAGCAGCCAAAUACAGCAGGCAU